UACGGGGGGGGUAAGCGUUGUUCGGAAUUACUGGGCGUAAAGGGCGCGUAGGCGGUCCUGUAAGUGGUGUGUGAAAUCCGAUGGCUCAACCAUCGAGCUGCGCUCCAUACUGCAGGACUUGAGUACAGCAGAGGAAAGUGGAAUUCCCGGUGUAGCGGUGAAAUGCGUAGAUAUCAGGAGGAACACCAAUGGCGAAGGCAGAUCUCUGGGCCGUAACUGACGCUGAGGAGCGAAAGCAUGGGGAGCGAACAGG
rnacentral:rRNA from 1 species